AUCACCUGGGGAUUUGUUAAAAUGCAGAUUCUGAUUAAUUAGGUUGGGAGCAGGGUCAGAGCUUUUGCAUUUCCAACAAGCUCCCAGGUGAUGCUAA
rnacentral:pre_miRNA from 1 species